UACGUAGGGUGCAAGCGUUAAUCGGAAUUACUGGGCGUAAAGCGUGCGCAGGCGGUUCGCUAAGACCGAUGUGAAAUCCCCGGGCUUAACCUGAGAACUGCAUUGGUGACUGGCGGGCUAGAGUAUGGCAGAGGGGGGUAGAAUUCCACGUGUAGCAGUGAAAUGCGUAGAGAUGUGGAGGAAUACCGAUGGCGAAGGCAGCCCCCUGGGCCAAUACUGACGCUCAUGCACGAAAGCGUGGGGAGCAAACAGG
rnacentral:rRNA from 1 species